rnacentral:rRNA from 1 species
AGAGUUUGAUCAUGGCUCAGGACGAACGCUGGCGGCGUGCUUAACACAUGCAAGUCGAACGAGAAUCUACUGAAAGAGUUUUCGGACAAUGGAUGUAGAGGAAAGUGGCGGACGGGUGGGUAACGCGUGAGGAACCUGCCUUGAAGAGGGGGACAACAGUUGGAAACGACUGCUAAUACCGCAUGACGCAUAGAGGUCGCAUGAUCUUUAUGCCAAAGAUUUAUCGCUUCAAGAUGGCCUCGCGUCUGAUUAGCUGGUUGGCGGGGUAACGGCCCACCAAGGCGACGAUCAGUAGCCGGACUGAGAGGUUGAACGGCCACAUUGGGACUGAGAUACGGCCCAGACUCCUACGGGAGGCAGCAGUGGGGAAUAUUGGGCAAUGGGCGCAAGCCUGACCCAGCAACGCCGCGUGAAGGAAGAAGGCUUUCGGGUUGUAAACUUCUUUUAAGAGGGAAGAGCAGAAGACGGUACCUCUAGAAUAAGCCACGGCUAACUACGUGCCAGCAGCCGCGGUAAUACGUAGGUGGCAAGCGUUGUCCGGAUUUACUGGGUGUAGGGGCGUGCAGCCGGGUCUGCAAGUCAGAUGUGAAAUCCAUGGGCUCAACCCAUGAACUGCAUUUGAAACUGUAGAUCUUGAGUGUCGGAGGGGCAAUCGGAAUUCCUAGUGUAGCGGUGAAAUGCGUAGAUAUUAGGAGGAACACCAGUGGCGAAGGCGGAUUGCUGGACGAUAACUGACGGUGAGGCGCGAAAGUGUGGGGAGCAAACAGGAUUAGAUACCCUGGUAGUCCACACUGUAAACGAUGAAUACUAGGUGUGCGGGGACUGACCCCCUGCGUGCCGCAGUAAACACAAUAAGUAUUCCACCUGGGGAGUACGAUCGCAAGGUUGAAACUCAAAGGAAUUGACGGGGGCCCGCACAAGCGGUGGAUUAUGUGGUUUAAUUCGAAGCAACGCGAAGAACCUUACCAGGGUUUGACAUCCUGCUAACGAAGUAGAGAUACAUUAGGUGCCCUUCGGGGAAAGCAGAGACAGGUGGUGCAUGGUUGUCGUCAGCUCGUGUCGUGAGAUGUUGGGUUGAGUCCCGCAACGAGCGCAACCCCUAUUGUUAGUUGCUACGCAAGAGCACUCUAGCGAGACUGCCGUUGACAAAACGGAGGAAGGUGGGGACGACGUCAAAUCAUCAUGCCCCUUAUAUCCUGGGCUACACACGUAAUACAAUGGCGGUCAACAGAGGGAAGCAGAGUCGCGAGGCAGAGCAAACCCCCAAAAGCCGUCCCAGUUCGGAUUGUAGGCUGCAACUCGCCUGCAUGAAGUCGGAAUCGCUAGUAAUCGCGGAUCAGCAUGCCGCGGUGAAUACGUUCCCGGGCCUUGUACACACCGCCCGUCACACCAUGAGAGUCGGGAACACCCGAAGUCCGUAGCCUAACCUGAAAAGGAGGGCGCGGCCGAAGGUGGGUUCGAUAAUUGGGGUGAAGUCGUAACAAGGA